rnacentral:tRNA from 1 species
GGGCGAGUGGUGGAACGGUAGACACGCAUGGUUCAGGGCCAUGUGGGAGCAAUCCCGUGAGGGUUCAAGUCCCUCCUCGCCCA